UCUCCGUUGGUGAACCAGCGGAGGGAUCAUUAUAGAGUUUUCUAAACUCCCAACCCAUGUGAACUUACCAUUGUUGCCUCGGCGCAGGCUGGGAGCUUCUGUAAACUCCCCCACGCGGACUCGCCUCCGCGCGGAGCAGGCCCGCCGGCGGCCCCUACCAAACCUCUUGUUUUUACAGUGUCUCCUCUGAGUUACAAACACAAAUGAAUCAAAACUUUCAACAACGGAUCUCUUGGUUCUGGCAUCGAUGAAGAACGCAGC
rnacentral:misc_RNA from 1 species